GUAGGUGAACCUGCGGAAGGAUCAUUAACACGAAUUAUUUUAUUAUCCAAUAUCAAAAACCAAACGUGAACCUUUUUUCUCCCUAUAUAUUCCAUAUAUAUUAUAUGUAUUUAUUUAAAUAUAUAUCUCUAUGUGCUAUAUAUAGGCUAACCUCAUCUAUAUAAAUUUUAACACUAUAAACUUCAACUAGUUUUAAUUUAGCUAUUAAAACAUCUAAACUAAAAAAGACAAGGUUAUUCGAAAGAGUAAACUUUAACUUUUUUCGAUUUACGAAAAAUUUAAAAGAACAACUCUUAACAAUGGAUAUCUUGGUUCUC
rnacentral:misc_RNA from 1 species